rnacentral:lncRNA from 1 species
UAAAGAGGCCAAGCCCAGUUGCAUAUCAGCAACCUCACAGAGAGAGCUGCCUCAGUCCCUCGAGCACAGUGACCCAUGAUUUUCAAGGUGGUGGCUGCUUUGUCAGAUGAAUUCCGGAGUGACCACAAGCAGAGAUCUCCUAACGACCCAUGAUGGGUAGUGUGAUCAAGUAUGAGCCAUCUAGUGCAGCAAGAAAUAGUGCCUAUAUAAGCACUGAGAUUUGAGGAUGGUUUGUUACCAGAGAAUUGCCUUC